rnacentral:hammerhead_ribozyme from 1 species
GCACUGCUGAAGAGUCUAAUAUUGGGGCGAAACGGCCGUCCAGUGU